rnacentral:rRNA from 1 species
GCCAGACUCCUACGGGAGGCAGCAGUGGGGGAUAUUGCACAAUGGGGGGAACCCUGAUGCAGCGACGCCGCGUGGGUGAAGAAGUAUUUCGGUAUGUAAAGCCCUAUCGGCAGGGAAGAAAUUGGACGGUACCUGACUAAGAAGCCCCGGCUAAUUACGUGCCAGCAGCCGCGGUAAUACGUAGGGGGCAAGCGUUAUCCGGAUUCACUGGGUGUAAAGGGAGCGUAGACGGCCAUGCAAGCCUGGAGUGAAAGCCCGGGGCCCAACCCCGGGACUGCUCUGGGAACUGUGCGGCUGGAGUGCGGGAGGGGCAGGCGGAAUUCCUGGUGUAGCGGUGAAAUGCGUAGAUAUCAGGAGGAACACCGGCGGCGAAGGCGGCCUGCUGGACCGCGACUGACGCUGAGGCUCGAAAGCGUGGGGAGCAAACAGGAUUAGAUACCCGCGUACC